CAAUAGCGUAUAUUAAAGUUGUUGCAGUUAAAAAGCUCGUAGUUGGAUUUGUGGCGUACGGUGGGUUCCGGGCACUUGUUGUCUGAGUAACUUGCUGUUGCCAUCCUUGGGUGGAACCUGUGUGGCAUUAGGUUGUCGUGCAGGGGAUGCCCAUCAUUUACUGUGAAAAAAUUAGAGUGUUCAAAGCAGGCUUAUGCCGUUGAAUAUAUUAGCAUGGAAUAAUGAGAUAGGACUUUUUUGCUAUUUUGUUGGUUUGCGCAAAGAGGUAAUGAUUAAUAGGGACAGUUGGGGGUAUUCGUAUUCCAUUGCCAGAGGUGAAAUUCUUGGAUUUUUGGAAGACGAACUACUGCGAAAGCAUUUACCAAGGAUGUUUUCAUUAA
rnacentral:rRNA from 1 species